AACGGCCCACCAAGGCGACGAUCAGUAGGGGUUCUGAGAGGAAGGUCCCCCACAUUGGAACUGAGACACGGUCCAAACUCCUACGGGAGGCAGCAGUGAGGAAUAUUGGUCAAUGGGCGAGAGCCUGAACCAGCCAAGUAGCGUGCAGGAUGACGGCCCUAUGGGUUGUAAACUGCUUUUAUAGGGGAAUAAAGUGAGCCACGUGUGGUUUUUUGCAUGUACCCUAUGAAUAAGGACCGGCUAAUUCCGUGCCAGCAGCCGCGGUAAUACGGAAGGUCCGGGCGUUAUCCGGAUUUAUUGGGUUUAAAGGGAGCGUAGGCCGGAGAUUAAGCGUGUUGUGAAAUGUAGAUGCUCAACAUCUGCACUGCAGCGCGAACUGGUUUCCUUGAGUACGCAUAAAGUGGGCGGAAUUCGUGGUGUAGCGGUGAAAUGCUUAGAUAUCACGAAGAACUCCGAUUGCGAAGGCAGCUCACUGGGGCGCAACUGACGCUGAAGCUCGAAAGCGCGGGUAUCGAACAGGAUUAGAUACCCUGGUAGUCCGCGCGGUAAACGAUGGAUGCCCGCUGUUGGGCCAACUGGUUCAGCGGCCAAGCGAAAGCAUUAAGCAUCCCACCUGGGGAGUAC
rnacentral:rRNA from 1 species